UACGUAGGGGGCGAGCGUUGUCCGGAAUUAUUGGGCGUAAAGAGCUCGUAGGCGGCUUAGUAAGUCGGCGGUGAAAUACCGAGGCUCAACCUCGGCACUGCCGUCGAUACUGCUAUGGCUAGAGUCUGGUAGAGGAGAACGGAAUUCCCGGUGUAGCGGUGGAAUGCGCAGAUAUCAGGAGGAACACCGGUGGCGAAGGCGGAUCUCUGGGCCGUGUACUGACGCUGAGGAGCGAAAGCGUGGGGAGCGAACAGG
rnacentral:rRNA from 1 species